rnacentral:rRNA from 23 species
CUGGAGGUAUCAGAAGUGCGAAUGCUGACAUAAGUAACGAUAAAGCGGGUGAAAAGCCCGCUCGCCGGAAGACCAAGGGUUCCUGUCCAACGUUAAUCGGGGCAGGGUGAGUCGACCCCUAAGGCGAGGCCGAAAGGCGUAGUCGAUGGGAAACGGGUUAAUAUUCCCGUACUUGGUGUUACUGCGAAGGGGGGACGGAGAAGGCUAUGUUGGCCGGGCGACGGUUGUCCCGGUUUAAGCGUGUAGGUGUGUGUUCCAGGUAAAUCCGGUUCACUUUAACACUGAGGCGUGAUGACGAGGCACUACGGUGCUGAAGCAACAAAUGCCCUGCUUCCAGGAAAAGCCUCUAAGCAUCAGGUAACAUCAAAUCGUACCCCAAACCGACACAGGUGGUCAGGUAGAGAAUACCAAGGCGCUUGAGAGAACUCGGGUGAAGGAACUAGGCAAAAUGGUGCCGUAACU